rnacentral:tRNA from 1 species
GCCGGGGUUGCAGAGAGGUACUGCGCGGGCCUGGAGAGCUCGUGCCCGAAAGGGCGCGUGGGUUCAAAUCCCACCCCCGGCG